rnacentral:rRNA from 1 species
CCCUUAGAUGUUCUGGGCCGCACGCGCGCUACACUGAUGCAUUCAACGAGCCUAUCCUUGACCGACAGGUCCGGGUAAUCUUUGAAUCUGCAUCGUGACGGGGAUAGAUUAUUGCAAUUAUUAAUCUUCAACGAGGAAUGCCUAGUAGGCGCAAGUCAUCAGCUUGCGUCGAUUACGUCCCUGCCCUUUGUACACACCGCCCGUCGCUACUACCGAUUGAAUGGCUUAGUGAGACCUUUGGACUGGACCGCCUUCCGGGGGUUUCGGCCCCUUUUGGCGAGGCUGGGAAGAAGGUCGAACUGGACUGUCUAGAGGAAGUAAAAGUCGUAACA